UUCGCGUACAAACUAUCCUCUCCAGACCAUGCUUGUGAGAUUACACUGAUUUUUUUGUUGUUGUUGCUAACUUCUUGUUGUAUAUUGCAUCUAUUUUUUAGAGCCCGUUUGGAUUGAUUUGAAAAAAGUGGUUUUUUAGCAGGAAUAACUUUACGGUAUUGCUUUUGGCUUGUUUUAAGUAAUUUUUAACUUAUUUUAAGCACUUUUUAACUUUGACAAACAUUGAAAAAAGCCAAUCCAAACACACUCUUAGAAUGUGUGCCUAAGUUUGAUGUACGAUGAGAAGGAAAAGAAGGUAUAUGAGUGGUUAAUCUGAAUAAUGAAUGCUGUAGAAACUUAAACUUUGUGAUAUAUCUCUCUUUCAAAAAGUUUCAGUUCAUUGAGGUCCAGAUUUGUUAUCAAUGGAAGCAGUAAACUAACAGUUACAGUUAGAAGAGAAGCCCGCCUACUUAACUCUUUCUGUGUUCAUGCUUGCGUGUGAUGAGGCAUCUUACUGUUAUUCAGCUACUUAAGUUACUCAUCGAAGUUGUUUCUUGAGGGUUCUCAAAUGUUAUCCGAGUAUUAUGGACGAAGUCAAUGGCAGUCCCUUUUGCGCUCAGCUUCUUUUUUGUGAUACUGAGGCUAAAACAACAGAAUUAAGCCGGAUAGCUAUAUCCGCACAAGGGUAUUGACUUAGCCUUCUCAUAAAUGAACCACAGGAAUGUCCUUCAAAUGGCAAAAUAAUGACAUGGAGAUGACCAUAAGAAGCAGAAAGCUGCAGGGCAAUGGCUUCGGUCCAAGCACUACUGAGGGCGAUUCGAGCAACUUAGAUAUGGAAGAUUAUCGCCCGAUAGAUCCAGUUCCUAGCACAAAAGCUUCUAUAAGACCAGGACCUGUUGAGCAUGGUACUCCUCUUAUGCCUUACAUUCCCAGGCCUUCACCUCCUCCUAUUAGCGCCAAUGGUGGGCUCCCAUAAGCUCAUCAUUAUUCCACUUCCACUAAUCCGCUACAAGUUGGGCAAUGUAGUUCCUCCCUUUUUUUCUAAAAGAAGUUGGAAUGUAGAAACUUCAAAGAAGCGUCGUCUCUACUAUUUUCUGUUUUCCUUGUAAAAUUUUUGUUGAAAGCUUGUAUAUUACUAUGGCAUGUUAUCUGUAA